rnacentral:rRNA from 1 species
UGCAAGUCGAACGGCAGCACGGACUUCGGUCUGGUGGCGAGUGGCGAACGGGUGAGUAAUAUAUCGGAACAUACCCAGUAGUGGGGGAUAACUAUCCGAAAGGAUAGCUAAUACCGCAUACGAUCUGUGGAUGAAAGCAGGGGAUCUUCGGACCUUGUGCUAUUGGAAUGGCCGAUAUCUGAUUAGCUAGUUGGUAGGGUAAAAGCCUACCAAGGCGACGAUCAGUAGCUGGUCUGAGAGGACGACCAGCCACACUGGAACUGAGACACGGUCCAGACUCCUACGGGAGGCAGCAGUGGGGAAUUUUGGACAAUGGGGGCAACCCUGAUCCAGCAAUGCCGCGUGAGUGAAGAAGGCCCUCGGGUUGUAAAGCUCUUUUGUCAGGGAAGAAACGGAGUUCUCUAAUAUAGGAUUCUAAUGACGGUACCUGAAGAAUAAGCACCGGCUAACUACGUGCCAGCAGCCGCGGUAAUACGUAGGGUGCAAGCGUUAAUCGGAAUUACUGGGCGUAAAGCGUGCGCAGGCGGUUUUGUAAGUCUGAUGUGAAAUCCCCGGGCUCAACCUGGGAACUGCAUUGGAGACUGCAAGGCUAGAGUGUGUCAGAGGGGGGUAGAAUUCCACGUGUAGCAGUGAAAUGCGUAGAGAUGUGGAGGAAUACCGAUGGCGAAGGCAGCCCCCUGGGAUAA